AGAGAUUGAACAUAAGAGUUUGAUCCUGGCUCAGAUUGAACGCUGGCGGCAUGCUUUACACAUGCAAGUCGGACGGCAGCACAGAGAAGCUUGCUUCUUGGGUGGCGAGUGGCGAACGGGUGAGUAACAUAUCGGAACGUACCGAGUAGUGGGGGAUAACUGAUCGAAAGAUCAGCUAAUACCGCAUACGUCUUGAGAGGGAAAGCAGGGGACCUUCGGGCCUUGCGCUAUUCGAGCGGCCGAUAUCUGAUUAGCUAGUUGGUGGGGUAAAGGCCUACCAAGGCGACGAUCAGUAGCGGGUCUGAGAGGAUGAUCCGCCACACUGGGACUGAGACACGGCCCAGACUCCUACGGGAGGCAGCAGUGGGGAAUUUUGGACAAUGGGCGCAAGCCUGAUCCAGCCAUGCCGCGUGUCUGAAGAAGGCCUUCGGGUUGUAAAGGACUUUUGUCAGGGAAGAAAAGGCUGUUGCUAAUAUCAGCGGCUGAUGACGGUACUUGAAGAAUAAGCACCGGCUAACUACGUGCCAGCAGCCGCGGUAAUACGUAGGGUGCGAGCGUUAAUCGGAAUUACUGGGCGUAAAGCGGGCGCAGACGGUUACUUAAGCAGGAUGUGAAAUCCCCGGGCUCAACCCGGGAACUGCGUUCUGAACUGGGUGACUCGAGUGUGUCAGAGGGAGGUAGAAUUCCACGUGUAGCAGUGAAAUGCGUAGAGAUGUGGAGGAAUACCGAUGGCGAAGGCAGCCUCCUGGGACAACACUGACGUUCAUGCCCGAAAGCGUGGGUAGCAAACAGGAUUAGAUACCCUGGUAGUCCACGCCCUAAACGAUGUCAAUUAGCUGUUGGGCAACUUGAUUGCUUAGUAGCGUAGCUAACGCGUGAAAUUGACCGCCUGGGGAGUACGGUCGCAAGAUUAAAACUCAAAGGAAUUGACGGGGACCCGCACAAGCGGUGGAUGAUGUGGAUUAAUUCGAUGCAACGCGAAGAACCUUACCUGGUCUUGACAUGUACGGAAUCCUCCAGAGACGGAGGAGUGCCUUCGGGAGCCGUAACACAGGUGCUGCAUGGCUGUCGUCAGCUCGUGUCGUGAGAUGUUGGGUUAAGUCCCGCAACGAGCGCAACCCUUGUCAUUAGUUGCCAUCAUUCAGUUGGGCACUCUAAUGAGACUGCCGGUGACAAGCCGGAGGAAGGUGGGGAUGACGUCAAGUCCUCAUGGCCCUUAUGACCAGGGCUUCACACGUCAUACAAUGGUCGGUACAGAGGGUAGCCAAGCCGCGAGGCGGAGCCAAUCUCACAAAACCGAUCGUAGUCCGGAUUGCACUCUGCAACUCGAGUGCAUGAAGUCGGAAUCGCUAGUAAUCGCAGGUCAGCAUACUGCGGUGAAUACGUUCCCGGGUCUUGUACACACCGCCCGUCACACCAUGGGAGUGGGGGAUACCAGAAGUAGGUAGGGUAACCGCAAGGAGUCCGCUUACCACGGUAUGCUUCAUGACUGGGGUGAAGUCGUAACAAGGUAGCCGUAGGGGAACCUGCGGCUGGAUCACCUCCUUUCUA
rnacentral:rRNA from 1 species